CAUUUUUAACCCUCUGUGCACCUAUGCUGUUCAACAGAAAGAAGCCCAGUUUCUUUUCUCAUCAAACAAGAAAUGAGCUAAACAGGAAACAUGUAACUCUAUAUCUUACUUUCUACUCUGGGUCCGAUCUGAAAUGUAUACAUUUUUUUUUUUUUUUUUUUUGAGAUUCACUGGACUUUCUUGGUCAUAAAAUGUGGCUCAAGACUUCAAUCUCGGACACAAGAUGGAUAAAAGUUCAAACAGUGCUAAAAGUGUAGUGUAGGUAGAAGCCAAUGGCUCAACAAGACAGCAAAGAAAGUGCAAAGCAACAUAUACCUGGAGCUG
rnacentral:misc_RNA from 1 species